GCGGUAUGUGAGACAUGUGUGGCGGUAAGGCGGAGUUGGGUGGUGUUAUUGGUAUGUAGUGGGCGCAAAGCGCGAGGAGGGGGUUUUUUAAGUCUGAUGUGAAAGCGCACGGAUGAACCGGGUAGAGUCAGUGGAAGCUGGUAAACGUGAGUGGAGAAGGGGUGAGUGGAAUUCCAUGUGUAUGGGUGAAAUGGGCAGAGAUAGUGAGGAACACCAGUGGCGAAGGGGACUUUCUGGUCUACAACUUACGCUGAUGUGCGAAAGCGUGGGGAUCAAACAGGAUUAGAUACCCCAGUAGUC
rnacentral:rRNA from 1 species